rnacentral:rRNA from 1 species
GAAGUUUGAUCCUGGCUCAGGAUGAACGCUGGCGGCGUGCUUAACACAUGCAAGUCGAACGAUGAAGCCGGAGCUUGCUCUGGUGGAUUUAGUGGCGAACGGGUGAGUAACACGUGAGUAACCUGCCCUUGACUCUGGGAUAAGCGCUGGAAACGGCGUCUAAUACCGGAUACGAGCUUCCACCGCAUGGUGAGUUGCUGGAAAGAAUUUCGGUCAAGGAUGGACUCGCGGCCUAUCAGCUUGUUGGUGAGGUAACGGCUCACCAAGGCGACGACGGGUAGCCGGCCUGAGAGGGUGACCGGCCACACUGGGACUGAGACACGGCCCAGACUCCUACGGGAGGCAGCAGUGGGGAAUAUUGCACAAUGGGCGCAAGCCUGAUGCAGCAACGCCGCGUGAGGGACGAAGGCCUUCGGGUCGUAAACCUCUUUUAGCAGGGAAGAAGCGACGUGUUUUACACAGAGUGACGGUACCUGCAGAAAAAGCACCGGCUAACUACGUG